CUCCCCGUCGUCUAGCGGCCAAGGACGCUCGGUUUUCAUUCGAGCAACCGGGGUUCGAGUCCCCGCGGGGAGG
rnacentral:tRNA from 1 species